UGAAUACGAGAUGCUACGGCGUCGAGGCAGUCUAUGUCAUACUUCCAAGAAAAGCUUGCACUGUCAUAAACAAAUAAUGCCUGUACCAUAACCGACACAGGUGGGUAGGUAGAGUAUACUAAGGGGCGCGAGAUAACUCUCUCUAAGGAACUCGGCAAAAUGACUCCGUAACUUCGGGAGAAGGAGUGCCUUAUUUUAUAAGGUUGCAAUAACAAGAUCCAAGCAACUGUUUACCAAAAACACAGGUCUCCGCUAAGUCGUAAGACGAUGUAUGGGGGCUGACGCCUGCCCAGUGCCAGAAGGUUAAAGAAGUUGGUUAGCAUCCGCGAAGCUGAUAACUGAAGCCCUGGUGAACGGCGGCCGUAACAAUAACGGUCCUAAGGUAGCGAAAUUCCUUGUCGGGUAAGUUCCGACCCGCACGAAAGGCGUAAUGAUUUGGAUACUGUCUCAGAGAGGGGCUCGGUGAAAUAGACUUGUCUGUGAAGAUGCGGACUACCUGCACCAGGACAGAAAGACCCUAUGAAGCUUUACUGUAACUUGAAAUUGAAAUUGGACUUUACUUGCGCAGUAUAGGUGGGAGGCGUUGAGAAUAUUCUUGCGGGAAUGUUGGAGCCAUCAGUGAGAUACCACUCUUGUAAUGUUAGAUUUCUAACUUUGUAUCAUUAUCUGGUCAAAGGACAGUUUCAGGCGGGCAGUUUGACUGGGGCGGUCGCCUCCCAAACGGUAACGGAGGCGCACAAAGGUUUCCUCUGAACGGGUAGAAAUCGUAUCUAGAGUGUAAAGGCAUAAGGAAGCUUGACUGUGAGACCUACAAGUCGAGCAGGGACGAAAGUCGGUCUUAGUGAUCUGACGGUGCUGAGUGGAAAGGCCGUCACUCAACGGAUAAAAGUUACUCUAAGGAUAACAGGCUGAUCUCCCCCAAGAGUUCACAUCGACGGGGAGGUUUGGCACCUCGAUGUCGGCUCAUCGCAUCCUGGGGCGGUAGUACGUCCCAAGGGUUGGGCUGUUCGCCCAUGAAAGCGGUACGCGAGCUGGGUUCAGAACGUCGUGAGACAGCUCGGUCCAUAUCCGGUGUAGGCGUUAGAAUAUUGAGAGGAGCCUUCUUUAGUACGAGAGGACCGAGAAGGACAUACCUCUGGUGUACCAGUUAUCGUGCCAACGGUAAACGCUGGGUAGCUAUGUAUGGAGUGGAUAACCGCUGAAAGCAUCUAAGUGGGAAGCCCACCUCAAGAUAAGUAUUCUCAU
rnacentral:rRNA from 1 species